GGCAGGCAGGCGAGAGCGAGAAGCUGCGAGCGCGCGGGCUGAGGCGCAGGGCACGCUGGGACAACGAGUCCUUCCGACCGCCAACCUCUGGCCGCCUUCGUGGUCGUAUGAACUACAAUUCCCAGCCUGCCUCUCGCGCCCCUACGCCAGGCCCAGGGGCCUUGCCCUCCCAGGGCCUCGCACUCCGGAGUCGCCGGGCACGCUGGGAAGGGUCAGGCUCCGGCGGGAAGGCGGAGCCGUUAGUGAGUCUGAGGGGACGCGUGGUCUCGCCCGGAAAAACCACUUCUACUGAUACCCAGGACCGAACUGAGACCCACUGAAGAAAGAGUGCCUUCUCGGGAGGAGGAAGUACCUAGGGGUUGAGAAGAGAGGCUAGAACGAAGGUCCCCGCUUCGCUCCCUGCAGGGCCCCUCAGAAGUGUGAACUACUCGUUGCGGCAUCAGCCUCAUCAGGGGAGACCAAUUAGAGGGUCGGCGACGCGCUGGGGAAGGGGGCGUCCAGAAAUACCGUGUCUACCCGGACAACGCCAAGAACUCAGGCCCGACCACCCCGACCUCAGGAGCUGCGCUAAAGGGACAUCAAGAUUCCAAAAGCGCCUAAAUCCAGGGAAAGGCCACCUCAGUUUUCCCGGGACUUGAAACCUCAUAACUCGUCCACCCUGCCCAGGAACCCGAGCCCCGGAGGCCGCGUGAAAUUGCACUGUCUCCGGCCGCUUCCUCCUCCAGACCCGGCGCCGGCCCAGCCUCUCCGGGGGAUUUGGAUGGGGGGGUGGGGGUUGGUUUCCAGCCUGGGAACAGACCCCGGAGCCCGCCUUUCCACUUCUACCCCGGGAGGGGCUCCCGCACCUGUCGCCGUCCCCUCUGCUGCCCCCCACAGCCGCCUGGGAGAACAGCUGCCUUCCCUUCCACACUGGAGCCUGACCGCGCCGUCCAGGCGGCCGCAGUUCCCGCGGCUCUUCUGGGGGCCCAGAUGGGCACACGGUCCCCACCACAGGCGCCCACACCGUCCUGGGUGCCAAGUCCAGGCUCGCGCUGGAGAGCAGGAGGAGGGGUGGGCAGGAAGGGGGACGCGAAGAGGACACUAGAGACGAAUGGCACGGGCCCCGGAGACCUCCCGCACCAGCCCGGGCGAUCCCAGCCAGAAGGUCGGGCGCUGCUAAAGCCCCGCUAGCCCCGGGACGGAUCCGGCCAGCGCCCCCUGGUCCCCAACCUGUGGCAGUGAAGUCCCACUUGGCGUUAAUUUCAAAUCCUUAAAAUUGGCAUUCCAGAUCUCGCCGGGAGAGCCUAAUUAUUUUCCCCAGAACUUCAAGCCUGAAGACUUAGAGAACAAUUACGCCUUGAAAAAAAAAAAAUUCGCUCCUAGCCAAGACAAUUGGCUAAAUUCUUUUAACCUGCUCUCUAUUGACAUGCAACCUAGAGGGCCCAUUCUCUGCUUGAUAAUUCAGUUCCUGUUUCGCCCUCCUUGGGGAGGUUGAGUUGCCCAGACCACAGGCCCUAACAGUUAUAAUAGUGAUAGCAACAGCAAAACGGCUAACAUGUACAGGUACAUCCAUAUACCAUUUCGUUUUCAAAGCAUUUCCUCAAAUUUAAUGUCUUAGAGAAUGUGUCACUUAACAUAAAAAUUAUGUGAGCUAGGCAACAUCACUCUCCAUUUUACAGAACUGGAAACCUGUGACUUCUCCAAGGUCAUCCACCUGGUGACUGUAGUCCAGGUGAUCAGGUGACCAGGAGGAGCACUCAGGUUUGAUUUCUUAUGUUUUACUGAGAGUGAAGCUUCAUCUGCUCAGAAUCAAAUGCCCAUCAGAUAACACAGCUAAAACACUAAGGAUCUCCACUCCUACCUACUCUCCCCCAGAUUAAAGAGUCUUUCAUUUUAUUACGCCCCCAUCUCAACCUACUGUUCAGGGCUUUGGUUUUUGAAGGAGAAAACGCUCCUUGGUUUCCUUGUUUAUAAACAGUUGUAUAUACUUAUAAGAUUGUUGUUUAGGGGAAUUCUCUGAACCAUUAUUUGUUAGAGUGCUGCCCCACUGUAAAGAAAAAAAAAGAUUGUUGUUUGGACUUAAUGAGAAAAGGCAGGUAGAGCUAGCUCUAAAUUACUGUGUUGUGCUCAACCUUUAAGAAGCAUUCGAGGAAUGCCAGCUGUAUCUAUUUCCUUUAUCCCCAACUCCACCUUUACCCUCUCAACUAGAUCCCAAGAUGUGUCUGCUGUUAUCUAUUCAUUCUUCAACACUUAGAGAAACAUCAUACUAUCUCCCAGGAUAUAUACAGUGGUUAAAACUUCAUGUAACUGACCAUCUUUGUUGGGUGCUGCCCUGAUUAAAUAAAUGAAAGAAGGGAGGCCUAUUUAUGAAUGCUC